AUGCAGUUACAGUACACAAGUGGG
rnacentral:siRNA from 1 species